rnacentral:misc_RNA from 1 species
GAAAUGCGAUAAGUAAUGUGAAUUGCAGAAUUCAGUGAAUCAUCGAAUCUUUGAACGCACAUUGCGCCCGCCAGCAUUCUGGCGGGCAUGCCUGUUUGAGUAUCAUGAAAUCUUCAAAGUAAAUCUUUUGUUAACUCAAUUGGUUUCUACUUUGGUAUUGGAGGUCUUUGCAGCUUCACACCUGCUCCUCUUUGUUCAUUAGCUGGAUCUCAGUGUUAUGCUUGGUUCCACUCGGCGUGAUAAGUUAUCUAUCGCUGAGGACACUGUAAAAGGUGGCCAAGGUAAAUGCAGAUGAACCGCUUCUAAUAGUCCAUUGACUUGGACAAUACUUUUAUGAUCUGAUCUCAAAUCAGGUAGGACUACCCGCUGAACUUAAGC